GAUGAACGCUGGCGGCGUGCCUAAUAAAUGCAAGUCGAGCGAACGGACGAGAAGCUUGCUUCUCUGAUGUUAGCGGCGGACGGGUGAGUAACACGUGGAUAACCUACCUAUAAGACUGGGAUAACUUCGGGAAACCGGAGCUAAUACCGGAUAAUAUUUUGAACCGCAUGGUUAAAAAGUGAAAGAGGGUCUUGAUGUAACUUAUAGAUGGAUCCGCGCUGCAUUAGCUAGUUGGUAAGGUAACGGCUUACCAAGGCAACGAUGAAUAGCCGACCUGAGAGGGUGAUCGGCCACACUGGAACUGAGACACGGUCCAGACUCCUACGGGAGGCAGCAGUAGGGAAUCUUCCGCAAUGGGCGAAAGCCUGACGGAGCAACGCCGCGUGAGUGAUGAAGGUCUUCGGAUCGUAAAACUCUGUUAUUAGGGAAGAACAUAUGUGUAAGUAACUGUGCACAUCUUGACGGUACCUAAUCAGAAAGCCACGGCUAACUACGUG
rnacentral:rRNA from 1 species